rfam:Candidatus Portnoybacteria bacterium RIFCSPHIGHO2_12_FTLL_40_11 rifcsphigho2_12_scaffold_21592, whole genome shotgun sequence.
GGGCGCAUAGCUCAGUGGUUAGAGCGCUGUCCUCACACGGCAGAAGUCUCUGGUUCGAAUCCAGAUGCGCCCA